UUAAAGUAAGAAUUCCAUUUUAUCUUUGCUGUGUAGUGUCUCAUUUCUUUGAUUUAAAAAUUUGCUUUUCCUCAGCAGGGACACUUGAAAACACUUUGUGGAGAAUUAACAAAUAAAGUUGGAACCUGUUUGGCAGUAGUUUGUGUUCUGUUCCUCCUCUCAUGUACAGUCUUGAUUGUCUGCCUAUCACUUGAUUUGAGUGUUUCAGUGACUAAAGGGUAUACUUGGAGUACGUCUAUCUCUCACUUUACACCUGAUUGCUUUUUUACUUUUUUAUUAGGGCAAUAGAAAAAUUACACAACCAUUCUUGGAAUAGUACCCUUGAUCAUGGACUAACAAUCUGCAUGACUUUUAUUGCCAGACAACUGUAGCGCAGCAGCAAUCGCGUCAUAAUGCGAGGCAGCCUGCUGUUCAGUUAGCCAGUUCCUGUCCUGUGACUGCUGCUUGAGCGUAGGUGUCACUGUGCACCCACAGAACCAGUUGUGGUGUAAUGAGAAGAAAUGAAUGCACCGAGAUACCAUGACACUCGCUCCCUGACGCUUCUACAUUCUCUGCUCAUGUUGGGGGUCCCUCUCCUGAGUCGCGUCCCUAUGAAGAGGAAGAUUUUUUAUUCUUUUAAUUGAGAGACCCUCC